CACGGAGCUAGCCGAUGCUUUUUCUUCGGAUACACGCAGUCCGGGACACGUCCCGGGUUUUGUUCUCCGACAAAAGAGGUUUACAACCCAUAGGGCCGUCUUCCCUCACGCGGCUUGGCUGGUUCAGGAUCUCUCCCAUUGACCAAUAUUCCUCACUGCUGCCUCCCGUAGGAGUCUGGUCCGUGUCUCAGUACCAGUGUGGGGGACCUUCCUCUCAGAACCCCUACGCAUCGUCGCCACGGUGGGCCGUUACCCCGCCGUCAAGCUAAUGCGCCGCAUGCCCAUCCUCUUCCGAUGAAUCUUUCCUCGAUCUCGGAUGCCCGAAACCGAUAUACGCGGGAUUAGCCUCCCUUUCGGAAGGUUGUCCCCCUGAAGAGGGCAGGUUGCAUACGUGUUACUCACCCGUGCGCCGGUCGCCGGCAAGGAAAGCAAGCUUCCCUCCCGAUGCCCCUCGACUUGCAUGUGUUAAGCCUGCCGCUAGCGUUCAUCCUGAGCCAGGAUCAAACUCU
rnacentral:rRNA from 1 species